GUUGUUGUGGCCGAGUGGUUAAGGGGAUGGACUUGAAAUCCAUUGGGGUCUCCCCGCACAGGUUCGAAUCCUGUCAACAACG